ACGAACGCUGGCGGCGUGCUUAACACAUGCAAGUCGAACGGAAAGGCCCUGCUUUUGUGGGGUGCUCGAGUGGCGAACGGGUGAGUAACACGUGAGUAACCUGCCCUUGACUUUGGGAUAACUUCAGGAAACUGGGGCUAAUACCGGAUAGGAGCUCCUGCUGCAUGGUGGGGGUUGGAAAGUUUCGGCGGUUGGGGAUGGACUCGCGGCUUAUCAGCUUGUUGGUGGGGUAGUGGCUUACCAAGGCUUUGACGGGUAGCCGGCCUGAGAGGGUUACCGGCCACAUUGGGACUGAGAUACGGACCAGACUCCUACGGGAGGCAGCAGUGGGGAAUAUUGCACAAUGGGCGGAAGCCUGAUGCAGCAACGCCGCGUGCGGGAUGACGGCCUUCGGGUUGUAAACCGCUUUCGCCUGUGACGAAGCGUGAGUGACGGUAAUGGGUAAAGAAGCACCGGCUAACUACGUG
rnacentral:rRNA from 1 species